GCGCGAGUGGCGGAAUCUGGCAGACGCGCAGGAUUCAGGUUCCUGUGUCCAAUACGGACGUGAGGGUUCAAGUCCCUCCUCGCGCA
rnacentral:tRNA from 1 species